AUGAAGUUACAUUUAACCUGUAUUUGUUUCCAUUUUGGCAAAUUGGUAGCAUUAAAAGUAUGCCGAAUGAGCUACUAGCAGUUCAUGUUUGCAUUGCACUCAUUAAGGUACAGACAACUAUUACUGGAUUGCUUUGAUAUUGAAGAAAACUUAAAAACGUGAAGAUUCUCAGGCAAGUUCUGGAGUUACAAGGAGCGUCUAUUAUUUCUACGAGGAUUUAGGGGCGUUUAUUCGCGAUGCAUCUGAGAUAAAGACAUUCUCGGGAAGAUGGAUUUGCGUGGAUAGGUGAGGCCAGAAGACAACUGGAGCUUUCUUAUCUCCGGAUUUACGAAGAGGCAGAGCAGAGGGCAGCACUACCUUCUUGUGUGCCAGCGAGGGGUCCUGUCUGAGCAGCUGUGAGAGGUCAGGGACUCGAGCACCGGCAGCGGAGUAGAUCCACUCCUUCUCUAUAGGAUCCAGCUAUCACAGAGAGGGGGAACAAGGACUGCCGGUAGUGACAUCACAGGGACAGUGGAUGUGUAUUUCAAAGACCAAACCCUAACGGUCAUCUAUCAUUAAGAUAAAAGAGAAACUCCAACUCUGUAGACUUGACACUGUACAUGUUUUACUUACUACUCCUUUAAGCCUUUUGUUGAUAAGAAAACAACAGGAAAAUGCAUGAAAAGGACUUACAGCGACAGCAGCGGAGCCCAUACUCCCCGUACACUCCUCGUCUUGCUCUGACUCGGACUGAAAGACAGAAAACAGAUGACUAUUACUCAGUGGUGACGAAAACCCCAACUUUGACACAACUUAACUGUACCGUAACAGUCAUAAUAGUCACACAGCAUAAUCCAGCAUCACAUGUUACACACACACACAUCCACUUUCACACCCUGGUCACACUGCUGUGAUGUUUUCCAGUUGACGAGACGUGACCAAAGGGUGUCAGACAGAUAGAGAGGUAAUGAGACAACAAGACAGAGGUGCUGGUUUCACACAUAAGGGGUAAUGAAUAACAAUCCAAUUAACAAUUAACCAAAACACAACACGCCUACAGUCAGGCCAUGUGUUUUUGUCACCAUUUCAGUCUGAAGUGGUCAAGAGAAAAACUCUUCUAGCAUUGUAUAAAUGUGUCUCUUUAGCUGAUUUAUGUGAGAGGGGAGAAGUUUUUUCUUCUCACCUUUUUUACGGGGGACGUGAUUGCAAAUUGUUCUUAGAUCAUGCAGAGACAUGAUUUUAAAACACUCAGCCCUUUCAUGUCUCUUGCACAGACUGUCACACGUCAGCAUGCUGGACAUGAAAAGUGGAUGGAUUGUAUUUAUCCAGCCUGUUCCGCUCCAGCACAUGUCAAUUUUUUGGCACUUAUGGUGGAGACCAAUAAUAACAGGCCGAGAAAAACAUUAUUGAGUGUGAAUGGAAAGUAUGUUUCAUUAAUUGUAAUUUUAAUUGCUUUAGGGCUGCAACCAUUAUUUAUACUACACAUUACAAAUACUGAUAAAUUUUUCAAUUAUUCUGGUAAUUUUUCAAUUAUUCUUGGUAAUACAGACAUUUUCCAUAGCUUAAAGUGACAUCUUCAAUGUUAUGUCUAACCAACAGUAUAAAACACUAUAUAAUUUACUAUUUAGCACAUGUUAGCAUGAGGCUGAGGCUGAUGGGGGUAUCAUCUGUUAUUCAAGUAUUUAGUAGCAUUCAUAUUGGACCAAUUCAGAUUUGACCUGAUGACGGGAAGAGGUUAAGGAACCAAUAAGUUUAUUACAAUUCAUCCUUAAAAGGCCACGGAUGUCUGUACCAAACUUCCUUGUGAUCCAUCCAAUAGCUGUAAAGACAUUUUACUCAAAACCAUAAAUGUCAACCUCAUGGUGGCGCUAGAGAAAAAGUCCUGAGAUCACCAAGGUCAAUAGGAUUCUUUCUCUGGGAACUAUGAAUGUCUUUCAUGACAAUCUAUGCAAUUGUUCUUUAAGGCCAAAGUGUCGACCACCAACCAACCGUCCCUGUAGCCAAAAUAACAAGAACCAAAAUUAAUUAAUCUCAAAUGCUAACUUCCCAUAACAGUUGUUUGGUCCCCACCAGAGAACUGUAUCUAUAACUUGAAUUCAUUGCAGUUACAUUGGAUUUCUACAGUAACAGAUUUUACGGCUUGGGGGAAAAAAUGUCCAUAGAAACUUCUCAAAACUCCUGCAGCACACCAUCUGUCACAUAUCUUUUUUUAAGACGUGACACCAAAAAAUGUACUGAACAAGACAUGUUUCAAAAAAACUUCUGUUCUCUUUCUGGAGGACAAACUAAAUGUAUUUGUACUUAUGGGCCGAUUUAUAUGCUGAUACCAGUAUAUCAGUGCAAGCGGUUGAGCUCUAAUUGGAAUCCAUUGUAAUCAACAGGAAUUCAGGCUGAUCAGUCUUCCCUAUGAACGACCAAAACAGUGACUAAGAUGCCAGGCAAGGACGAUGCUCUCCUCCUGAAUCUAAUUUAAACUUAAGGGAAGCAGAACUGAUCUGCCCCCAGAGUGUCGUCCUGCAUUUGGGAGCAUGAUUUAAUAAAUGACAAAUAACAACAGAGCUUACAGCCUCAGGUGUUUUGUUUAAGAACAGUGUAUAAACCUGCUAGGUAGCUUCUGUAAUGUGAAAGAACUUGUCCUACAUACAAAGUUCAAUGGUGUGACUAAUACCUUAAGCAAACACAUUUAAUCUGAUUGCGGUGCUAUAUUAACACACUUCAACACAUUUCAUCUGCCUGUUGUGCAGGUCAUCAAGGAGAGCCACAUAUCUUUCUCUCAGAUAAAUCCCAAUCUCUUUAAUCGGCACAAAUGAUUAUUAUCUUUCUAAUGAGUUCCAACAUGUUGCUGCUUAACAUAAUAACAGAGAGCUUAAUUUAAAUGCAUAUUCUUCCCCUUCUCCCCCAGUGGGUUCUCCUCCCACUCAAAAUCAACAUACUGUAGGUUACAAAUCCAGGUAAUUUUCUUAGCACCACCUUGUGGGUAAAGGAGGAACUACUAUAGAGUAAGCACUGAACCUGGAAGUCAAGUGUUUGUCCCUCACUCUCAAACUUUGAGAUACAGUAAGUCCAAGGUGUGUCUUUCAUCUGAGCAACUACAGUGAAAUGUAAUUCAAAAAAGGAAAUUCACCAACAUUAAAUGUUCAUCUAAACGUCUUUCAGAAUGAGAGGACAUUAAUUAUGAAAACUUUAAAUCUAUUUCAAAAAGGUGCCGCCGAUCAACUAAUGGGCUUAUACUUCUAGUUCAUCACUUCUACACACAAAAAGGUUUAAAUUAAAAGAAACAAAUACAACAUGAUAAGACAACUACCCAACAGAAUAUUCAAGUACAGCUAAAACGAUUAGUGUUGAGUUCAUUAAUUAGGCAAAUGACAAAAAAUUAAUUUGGCAACUUAAAGUAAUUUUUCAUGCAAAAACAUUUAAUGGUUCCAGCUUCUAAAAUAUGCUUACCUUUGAUAUUUAUUUUUAAUUAUUUUGAGGUUUGGACUGUUGGCUGGCAUUGUGAAGGUGUCACUUUGGGCCUGGGUAAUUGACUAUUGACUAUUUCAACACCUAGUCUAUGUUUAUACUGAGAUUCCUGAAUGCCCAAACACUAAAACAGUGUUUAACAAUCUAUUUUCAUGUUAUUGUCAUAUCAUAUUGUCUGGUACUAUUAAUUAUAAUAGAUUUUCUGUACUGUCUGACUCACUUCUAGAUCCUGACUAGAUUAUAAUUCUGGUGAUUAUUACAGUAGGUUGGUUGUUUUAUGCACCCUUAUGUCCCUUAAAUGUCACUCAUCGUGUUCCAAAUGUGUUGUUCUGAAUGGAUUUUGAACUGGAUGUAACAUAACACUAUUAAUUAGAUAAAACUGGAUGUUACAAUAUUUUUCUUACAGAAGACAAAGACAUCCAAGAACUGUCUAUUUUUAGGAUUUUCAUUUCUCCAUCUUUUUAAUUUGUAUUCAUAUUACUACCACUUAGAGAAGCAAAAACUGGUCAUUUAAAUCAUAUAUUGAUUUAUUUUAGUUUUCAAUUUCGACAUCUAUGCUUGCUUUUAAUAGCUUUCUAACUCUAAAUCUCAGCACGUGUUGUUUAUGUGUGUUACAACUGACUGAGGUUGGGGGACACGUUUCCUGUGCAGUCAGCCUACCGUAGCUGGAAGUUUCCAGGUUAUUGUGACAAUAAAUAUAAUAAAAUAUGCUAAAGAGCAGCCUCACACCAA